CAGGCGCCCGGUACACUGAAGCCACCUGCCGAAUAUGCCAGAACCAUGUGCCAGACAUGACAGAACCAUGUGAGGGAUACACCAGUAACAGGUCCAGCACAGGCCAGAACCAAGUGCUGGACACGCCUGAAACAGCUGGCGGACACACAUGAACCACCUGCUAAACCAGCCUGAACCACUUUACGGACAAUCCAGAACCAGUUGCCCAACAUGCCUGAACAACCUGCUGGACACUCUGGAACUACCCGCCGGACAUAUGCCCAGCGUCCACCAGAAACGCCUGAACCACCUCCCAGACACUCUGGAACCAACCGCUGUAAAAAUCGGAACCACUACCUGGACAAUCUGCAAACACCUGCCGGAGACACCAAAAUCAGGUCCCGGCAGGUGGUCCGGGUGUGUCUGGCACCUGGCUCCGGCGUGUUCGGCAGAUGGUUCCGGCAUGUCCACCAGAUGGUUCUGGCGCAUUCUGAAGGUGGUUACGGAACAUCAGGCAGGUGGUUCAAUCAUGUCCAGCAGCUGGUUCAGUCUUGUUCGGGAGGUGCUUCAGUCAUGUCCAGCACCUGCUUCUGGUAUGUGCAACACCUGUUUCUGGCGUAUCCAGCAGGUGGUUCAGUCGUGUCCGGCACCUUGUUUCUGUGUGUGCAACACCUGUUUCUGGCGUAUCCGGCAGGUGGUUCUGGCGUGUCUGGCAGGUGUUUCCCUCAAGCCUGGCUGGUGGUCCAGGCAUGUCCAUCAGGUGGUUCCGGUGUGUCGGGCACCUGGUUCCAGCACGUCUGGCAUGUGGUUCUGGAAUGUCCAUAAAGUGGUCCUCGCUGGUCCAGCAGGUUGUCCAGGCUGGUAUGGCAGCUGCUUCAGGCUUGUCCAGCACCUGGUUCUGGCCUGCCCUGGACCUGUUUCUGGCGUAACCAGCAGAUGGUUCCAGCGAGUCCAAGAGGUGGCUCGGCUGUGUCCGGCAGAUGGUUUCGGUGUAUUCAGCAGGUGAUUUGGACGUGGCCACCAGGUGUUUCCACCAUGUCUGGCAACUGGUUCUGGCAUAUUCGGCAGGUGGUUUCAGGGUAUCCGGUACCUGAUUCUGCCAUAUGUGAGAGGUGAUUCCGGCAUGUCUGGCAGUUGGUUCUGGGGUGUCAGGCUGGUGAUUCUGCCGUGUUUCGCAGGUGGAUCAGUGCUGUCCAGCAGGUGGAUCAGUCAUGUCGGGUGGUGGGUUGCAGCAUAUCCCGGGGUGGUUGCAGUGUGUCCAGAAGGUGGUUCUGUCAUGUCGGGCAGGUGGUUCUGGUGAGUCAAGCAGGUGGUUAUGGCAUGUUUGGCAGGUGGUUCAGGCGUGUCUGUCAGCUGGUCCAGGUGCAUCUGGCACAUGGUCCAGGCAUGGCCGUCCCGUGGUCCAGGCAUUUCUAAAACAUGGUUCUGACAUGUCCGAAAGAUGGUUUGGGCGUGUCUGGCAUCUGAUUCAGUCCUCUCCGAGAGGUGCUUUGGGGGUGUCCCACAGGUGGUCCUGGUGUGUUUCCGGCCAGUGGUUCAGCAUGUCUGGCACGUCAUUCGAGUAUGUGUGGUCUGGGGUUCUGGUUUGUAUAGCAGGCAGAUCCAGUGUGUCUGGCACCUGGCUCCGGCAUGCUUGGCAGGUGGUUCUGGCAUGUCCACCAGAUGGUUCCGGUGCAUCCUGAAGGUGGUUAUGGCGUGUCCAGCAGGUGGUUCAGGCUUGUCCGUCACUUGGUUCCGUCGUGUCCAGCACCUGCUUCCAGCAUUUGCGUCACCUGUUUCUGGCAUAUCUGGCAGGUGGCUUCAGCAUGUCCAGUGGGUGGUUCAGUCAUCUCCUGCACCUGGUUAUGGCGUGUGCAACAACUUUUUCUAGCGUAUCUGGCAGGUGAUUCCAGCAUGUCUAGCAGGUGGUUCACGCUAGUUUGGCAGGUGUUUUGGGUGUGUCCAGCAGGCGGUUCUGGCCUUAGGGCACCAGGUUCCGCUGUGUCCAGCACUUGGUUCUGGCAUAUCCUGCAGGUGGUUUCAGUGUAUCUGGCCCCUGGUUCCAGCAUAUCCAACAGGUGGUUCCGGUGUGUCUAGCAGGUGGUUCAGGUGUGUCUGGGAAGGGGUUCUGUUACAUUCGGAAGGUGCUUCCGGCGUGUCUGGUGGGUGAUUCCAGUGUGUCUGGCAGUUGGUUCCAGCAUGUGUGGCUGGUGGUUCCAUCGUGUCUGUUUGCUGGUUCUGAUGUGUCCGGUGGGUGCUUCUGGGGUGUCCGGCAGCUGCUUCCCACAUGUCCAGAGGGUGAUUUCACCACAUCCAGCAGGUGGCUAUGGCGUGUCCAGGAUCUGAAUCCAUCAAGUUGGGUGGUGGUUUUGGUAUGUUUGGGUGGUGGUUCCUGCGUGUCCAGCAGGUGAUUUUGGCGUGUCUGGCAGAUGGUUCCAGUGAGUCAAGUAGGUGGUUGCAGCGUGUCAGGCAGGUGGUUCAGGUGUGUCCAGUAGGUGGUUCAGGCCUGUUCGGAAGGUGGUUUCGGCGCAUCCAGCACCUGGUUCUGGCAUAUCUGACAUGUCGUUCCAGCGUGCCCAGCAUGUGAUUCCAGAUUGUCCAUCAAGUGUUUCAGGCAUAUCCAGCAGGUGUUUCAGUCUUUUCUGGCAGGUGGUUCCAGCAUGUCCUGCCAGGGGUACUGGCGUGUCAUUCAGGUAGUUCCAGCGUGUGAGGCAGGGGCUUAUAACAUGCCCAAGACCUGAUUCUGGCGUCUCCAGUGCAUGGUUCCAGAGUGUCCGGGUUGUGGCUCCGAUGUGUCCAGCAGUUGGUUCCAGCAUGUCAGGCAGGUGGUUCAGGCGUUUCCAGGGGAUGGUUCCGGUAUGUCCAGCAGGUAGUUCAGGUGUGUCCAGCAGGUUGUUCAGGCAUGUCUGUCAGCAGGUUCAGCUGCAUUUGGGACAUUGUCCUGGCAUGGCCAUCCCGUGGUCCAGGCAUUUCUGAAACGUCGUUCUGACGUGUCCAAAAGGUGGUUUGGGCAUGUCCAGCAUCUGAUUCAGGACUGUCCAGGAGGUGCUUUGGUGGUAUCUGGCAGGCAGUCCAGGUGUGUCCAGCAUUGAUUCCGGCAUGUCCAGUGUUUCUUUCUAGAAUGUCUGGAGUUUGGUUCUGGGACGUCCAGCGGGCGAUUCCAGUGUGUCCAGCACCUGGCUUUUCAGUAGGUGGUUCCUGCAUGUCCACCACAUGGUCCCAGCGUGUCCUGAAGGUCAUUCCGGCAUGUCCAAUAGGUAUUUCAGUCCUGUCCAGCAAGUGCUUCAGGCUUGUUCGGCAGUUGGUUCAGUCGUGUCCAGCACCUGGUUCCAGCGUGCGUGACUCCUGUUUCUGGCAUUUCUGGCAGGUGAUUCUGGUGUGACCAGCAGUUGGUUCAUGCAAGUCUGGCAGGUGAUUCAAGCGUGUCCAGCAGGUGGCUCUGGCAUGUCAGGCAGCUGGUUCCACCUUGCCCAGCAUGUGGUUCCAGAAUGUCCGUAAAGUGGUUCAGGGUGGUCUAGCAGAUGGUUGAGGCUAGUCAUGCAGCAGCUGCAGGCUUGUCUGGCACCUGGUCCUGGCCUGUGCUGGACCUGUUUCUGGUGUAUCCAGCAGGUGGUUCUGGCAUGUCCUGCACAUGGUUUUGGUGUAUCUGACAGGUGAUUUGGACGUGUCUGGCAGGUGUUUCUGCCAUGUCUGGCACCUGAUUCUGGUGAUUUCGGCAGGUGGUUUCAGUGUAUUUGGCACCUCGUUCCGGCAUAUCCAACAGGUGGUUCCGGUGUGUCAGGCAGGUGGUUCAGGUGUUUCUGGCAUGUGAUUCUGGUACGUCUGUAAGGUGGUUCUGGGAUGUCCAGUGGGUGCAUCCAGAGUGUCUGGCAGUUGGUACCGGCAUGUCUGGAGGGUGGUUCUGGAUGUCUGAGUGGUGGUUCCAGUGUGUCGGGUGGGUAGUUCUGGCAUGUCUGUUGGGUUGUUCUGGCGUAAAAGAGGCCAGGUUCCGGCGUAUCUGGCAGGUGAUUUUGGCGUGUCCAGCAGGUUGUUCUGGCAAGUCAAGCAGAUGAUUGCGGUGUGUCCCACUAGGUUGUUCAGGCAUGUGCAAAAGGUGGUUCAGGUCUAUCCUGAAGGUGGUUUCUGCACGUCUGGCACCUGGUUCUGGCAUAUCUGACAUGUGGUUCCAGCGUGCCCGGCAUGUGGUUCCAGAUGUCUGUAAAGUGGUUCAGUAAUAUCCGACUGGUGGUUCAGUCUUGUCUGGCGGGUUAUUCAGCUUUCUCUGGCUUGUGCUUCCGGCAUGUCCUGCCAGUGGUACUGGCGUGUCAUUCAGGUGGUUCCAGCAUGUCUGGCAGGGGUUUCCUGAGUGUCUGGUAUGAGUUUCCAGUGUGUCUGGAAGGUGGUUCUGAUGUGUCAGGAGGGUGCUUCUGGGGUGGCUGGCAGUUGGUGCCCGCAUGUCCAGUGAGUGAUUCCAGCGUGUGCAGCAGGUGGGUACAGCGUGUCCAGGACCUGAUUCUGUCAUGUCGGAUGGUGGCUUUGGCAUCUUUGGGUGGUGGUUCUGGCGUGUCCAGUAGGUGAUUUCAGCAUGUAUGGCAGGUUUUUCCACCCUGUGUGGAAGUUGGUUCUGGUGUAUUCAGGACUUGGUUUUGGGGUAUCCAGAAGUUGAUUUUGGCGUGUCUGGCAGGCUAUUCUGGUGUGUCUGGCACGUGGUUCUGGCUUGUCUGGCAUGUGGUUCUGGCAUGUCCACCACCUGGUUCUUGUGUAUCCGGUGGGUGGUUUCAUGGUGUCCAGCACCUGGUUCUGCUGUAUCUGACAGGAGGUUCCGGCGUGACUGUCAGGUGUUUCCAGGGUCUCAGGCAGGUGGUUCUGGUGUGUCUGGCUGGUGGUUCAGCUGUGUUUGGCAGGUGGUUCUGGACUGUCCACCAAGUGAUUCAGGCGUAUCGGGCAAGUGCUUCAUUCUUCUCUGACAGGUGGUUCAGGCCUGUCCAGAAGGUGGUUCUGGCGUGUCCAGCACCCAGUUCUGGCAUAUCUGACUGGUGGUUCCGGCGUGCCCAGCAUGUAGUUCCAGAGUGUCUGUCAAAUGUUUCAGGCGUAUCCGGCAGGUGGUUCUGUCUUGUCUGGCAGGUGGUUCAGUUUUGUCUGGCAGGUGGCUCCGGCAUGUCUGGCCAAUGGUACUGAUGUGUCAUUCAUGUGGUUCCAGUGAGUCCAGCAGGGUGUUCCUGUGUGUCUGGCAUGAGUUGCCGGUAUGUCUGUAAGGUGGUUCUGACGUGUCCGGUGGGUGCUUCCGGGGUGUCUGGCAGUUAGUUCCUGCAUGUCUGGUGGGUGAUUUGGUGUGUCCAGGAGCUGAUUCUGUCAUGUCUGGUUGGUGGUAUCAAUGUUUCCGAUGGUGAUUCUGGCAUGUCCGGCAGGUUUUUCUGGCCUGUCUGGAAGAUGAUUCUGGCGCAUUCUAGACUUGAUACCAGCAUGACCAGCAGGUGAUUCACACAAGUCUGGCAGGUUGCUCAGGCUUGUCCAGCAGGUGGUUCUGGUGUUUCCGGCACCUGGGCCUAGCAUAUCCAACGUGUGGUUCCAACGUGUCUGGUGUUUGCUUCUGGGGUGUCUGGCAGUGGAUUCCUACAUUUCCAGUGGGUGAUUCUGGCAUGUCCGGCAAGUGGCUACAGUGUGUCUGAGACCUGAUUGCAUCGGGAUGGGUUGGUAGUUUCGGCAUGUCCAGGUGGUGGUUCCAGCAUUUCUGGCAGGUAUUUCCAGUCUGUCCGGAAUUUGGUUAUGGCAUAUCUGGGACCUGAUCCUGGCACAUCUGGCCGGUGAUUUCAGUGUGUCCAGCAGGCUGCUGCGGCAUGUCUGGCAGGUGGUUCUCGCUUUUCUGGCAGGUGGAUCUACUGUGUCCGGCACCUGGUUCUGGCAUAUCCAACAGGUGGUUCCAGAGAUUCCGGCAGGUGGAUCCAGGGUGUCAGGCAGGUGAUUACGGUGUGUCCAGCUGCUGGUUCAGCCAUGUUUGGUGGGUGGAUCAGUGCUAUCCAGCAGGUGGAUCAGUCGUGUCCGGCGGUUGGUUUCUGCAUAUCCGGGGGUUGUUCCAGCCUGUCAGUCAGUUGGUUCCAGUGUGUCCAGAAGAUGGUUCCGUUGUGUCCGGUGGGUGAUUUUCCACUUCCUGUAUGUAAUUCCAGCGUGUCCAGAAGGUGCUUCCGGCCUGUCCAAGACCUGAUUCUGGAGUCUCCAAUGUCUGGUUCCAGAGUGUCUGGGUGGUGGUUCCGACAUGUCUGGCAUUUGGUUCUAGCGUGUCAGGCAGAUGGUUCACUGCCGGGAGCCAUCAGCCUACAAGUUAAGCCUCUGCCUUGUGACACGGUCCAGGAGAGAGAUGAGGGGACUCACGGCGACCCUCAAGGGAAUCUACCAGGCUGCCCUUGCAACAAGUCUCCCUGGUACUUUUGACUUUCCUGCUUCUGCUUACUCUGUUCUACACCUGGUGGUGUUUCUGGGGAAUUCAGCCUGGCCUUGGGAAUGAGAAUGAUACAAUACAAUAUUCUAGGGAAAGUUCUGGGGAAAAACAUCUUCUAGGGAAAGAACAUUCUGACCCGUCCUUCGGUCAGGUGAAGCGAUGGGAGUGGAGAGGGAACAAAGAAAUCUGUGGCCCCCACAGAUCUCUCUGGGAGGACGGUGGUUGCCACGGCCCAUUGAGUCAGGAGGCUGCUGGGGGUAGCCUCCUUGAAGUACAGAAUUACAGAAGCUUGACUCCCCUCGGGCCUGCACAUAAUCCAUUGCUCUUAAGACUAUUAUCUACCUUACAAUCAAUUACUCUUAGGACUAUUGUCUACCUUGCAAAAACCCGCUUACGUGAGCCAAAGAUAUGUCCUGGGACUGUUUCAUGAAAUCAUCCUUGCAUACCCUGAGCCCUAUAUAAAUCAUACAUACACAAAAUAAAGUUAGACUUGGACACUAAACUCCUUGUCUCACUACCUGCUCCCUCGCCGAUGCCGUCCAUCCCCCAGGAGACCCUGUUCGGCUGGGGCUGGACCCCGGCAGUUCACGUGUUUCUGUUGGAUGGUUCUGGUGUGUCCAGUGGGUAGUUCUGGCAUGUCCGGCAGGUUGUUCAGGCAUGUCUGUCAGCUGGUCCAGGUGCAUCAAGCACAUGGUCAAGGAAUGGCCCUUCUGAGGUCCACAUAUUUCUGAAACGUGGUUCUCAUGUGUCCGAAAGGUGCGUUGGGCAUGUCUGGCAGGUGAUUCAGGCCUCUCUGGGCAGGGCAUUCGGGUGUCAGGCAGGUGGUCCAGGUUGGUCUGGCAUGUGGUUCCUGCAUGUCUGGCAUGUCGUUCCAGUAUGUCUGGCCUGUGGUUCCAGUGUGUCCAGCAGGUGGUUCUGGAGUGUCCGGUACCUGGCUCUGGCGUGCUGUGCAGGUGAUUCUGGCAUGUCCAACUGUUUCUCUGUCAACUAUAUAAUUUUGCAUUUUCAUGCGGGAAGUUUAUUGCUAAAAGUUACAGUUGAGGAAAUGUCAUUUUCCAACUUGUUAGUCAAAUUGUUUUUUAAUGACAAAGUGUAAUUUAAGUCAGAUUAACAAAAAUUAUCUACAGGAACUUAUACACCAAAUACAGCCAUAUUCUAGUACACAGAACACUGAAUUGGAGUUUAGAGAUUCAAAUUGGAAUACUUUAUCUGCUACUUACAGCUGUGGAACUCUUGAGUAUAAGGAAUUUACUAAUCUUCUCUUAGUCUUAUUUGCUCAUCUGUUGCCAAGAGAUGGAAGAAGAUUGCCUCUGCAGUAUCACCUUCCAAGUACCUCAGGAAUGCAAAUAAUGGAGGAUCCUAAUAUACAUCUAAAGUUCAAGAUGUAGAGAGUGUGGUAAACAUGGCUUUUAGCAUUCCAGCACCUUCCAAAGUGAAGGUAGGUGGAAUGGAGGUCAAAGAAGCCAACUUGUAUUAAGUUUAAAAUACGAACUAUAGCUGCUCACAAGAAAGAAUCAAAUAUUUCAUAGAAGGAGAUUUUUAAAGGCUUUAUUAAGGUAGUAAAGGUAAAAAAGGAACAGAAUAUAAAUUCCGUGGAAACUGCAAUAGUUUCUCUCCUUAGUUCCUAGCACUGAAUUAUAAGCCAUUUUGCUAAAGAUGUGGUAAUAAAGUGAGCAUUUUAUCUGGUGGUCAAUUUUCCAAAUAUACUAAGAAAC
rnacentral:lncRNA from 1 species